GUGGGGAAUCUUAGACAAUGGGCGCAAGCCUGAUCUAGCCAUGCCGCGUGAGCGAUGAAGGCCUUAGGGUUGUAAAGCUCUUUCAGUGGGGAAGAUAAUGACUGUACCCACAGAAGAAGCCCCGGCUAACUCCGUGCCAGCAGCCGCGGUAAUACGGAGGGGGCUAGCGUUGUUCGGAAUUACUGGGCGUAAAGCGCACGUAGGCGGACUGGAAAGUCAGGGGUGAAAUCCCGGGGCUCAACCCCGGAACUGCCUUAGACACUCACAGUCUUGAAGUCGAGAGAUGUGAGUGGAAUGCCGAGUGUAGAGGUGAAAUUCGUAGAUAUUCGGAGGAACACCAGUGGCGAAGGCGGCUCACUGGCUCGAUACUGACGCUGAGGUGCGAAAGCGUGGGGAGCAAACAGGAUUAGAUACCCCAGUAGUCC
rnacentral:rRNA from 1 species